rnacentral:pre_miRNA from 1 species
AAUAAAAGAAUGACAGAUUGGAUUCUUUUUCUCCUAAUUUUUAGCUUUUUCCUCUUGACAAAAAUUUAAAUUUAACUAAAAAUGCUAAAAAUCAGGAGGAAAAAAUCUAAUUUAUCAUUCUCUUAUC